rnacentral:misc_RNA from 1 species
AACAAGGCGUACCUGCGGACCUGCGGAAGGAUCAUUACCGAGUUAUACAACUCAUCAACCCCUGUGAACUUACCUACAACGUUGCUUCGGCGGGAACAGACGGCCCCGUAAAACGGGCCGCCCCCGCCAGAGGACCCCUAACUCUGUUUUUAUAAUGUUUUUCUGAGUAAACAAGCAAAUAAAUUAAAACUUUCAACAACGGAUCU